rnacentral:rRNA from 1 species
AACGAACGCUGGCGGCAUACCUAACACAUGCAAGUCGAACGAGACCUUCGGGUCUAGUGGCGCACGGGUGCGUAACGCGUGGGAACCCGCCCUUAGGUUCGGAAUAACUCCCCGAAAGGGGUGCUAAUACCGGAUAAUGUCUUCGGACCAAAGAUUUAUCGCCUUUGGAUGGGCCCGCGUUGGAUUAGCUAGUUGGUAGGGUAAAAGCCUACCAAGGCGACGAUCCAUAGCUGGUCUGAGAGGAUGAUCAGCCACACUGGGACUGAGACACGGCCCAGACUCCUACGGGAGGCAGCAGUGGGGAAUAUUGGACAAUGGGCGAAAGCCUGAUCCAGCAAUGCCGCGUGAGUGAUGAAGGCCUUAGGGUUGUAAAGCUCUUUUACCCGGGAUGAUAAUGACAGUACCGGGAGAAUAAGCUCCGGCUAACUCCGUG